AUACUUACCUGGACGGGGUCGACGGGUGAUCAAUAAGAUCCGUGGCUUAGGGCAGUGGUCUCCAUUGCACUUGGGAGGUGCUCUGCUCUACCAUCUACCCAAAGCGGGAGACUGGACGUCAUAAUUUGUGUUAGAGGGGUUACGCGUUCGCGCGGCCCCUGC
rfam:Musa acuminata subsp. malaccensis Doubled-haploid Pahang (DH-Pahang) genomic chromosome, chr4